rnacentral:lncRNA from 1 species
AUAGAAGAAAAUAUUGGCUAAAUCACGUAAAUCCACUCCUGUUAAUAUUCGAUUUUUCACUUUUUUUCUCUGUCAUUCAAAAAUUUAUAUUUUAUCUCCUUUAAAAAUAAAAAAUAUUUACAGGAGGUACGCUGUAACAAAAUGACUAAAUUGCCUUUCAUCUUUUUUGGUGGACGUUGACGGAGAGGUGGGCAAGGGCGAGCGUGAGACGGCGGAGACGAGCGAGGGCGUGUGUGUGGGCGUGGACAGAGAGGUGGGUAAGGGCGAGGCGGCACGGCCGAGAAUGAGAAAGGAGGAGAGUUUCGAAAAUAUUUUCGGUAUAAAAAAUAGGGUAUAAACGGAACUCUAAUAGAACACUGACGGCAGAGAUCAAAAAAAUUUUUUUUUUUAAGGGGGCACAGUAUAAGUUUUUAAAUGAUAUGAAAAAAAAGUAAAAAAAAAAAUAUUGAUAAAGAUUUUUUCUGUAAUUUAGCCAAAAAUAUACUUAUAUAAUAGCUAAAAAAUUUUAAAAUCCAUACCU